rnacentral:snoRNA from 2 species
GCAGACUCACUCUGCACCUGGCUGCAGCCCCAGGCGGGUGCUUUUUCCGUCUGCCAGAGUAACAUCCCAGGGUGCUGUGACCACCUUGACCUGUCAUGGGUGAUGCAGUUGUCUGGGGACACGGUG